rnacentral:lncRNA from 1 species
UCGUAGUGGUAUCAGUUAGCAAAUGUUAGGAGUGUUUUUACCUUCUCUGUUAUGGACUGAAAGUUGUACUGGCCCAGCAAGCUGGACCCGAGUAUUCAGAUGGGCGUGGCCCAACAGCACAACGCGGGUACACAGGGCAGUAGCAACAGUAUUUGGAUGGGCCGCAAGUUCAAGCCCAACUACCAAGGGCAGAUUUUGUAAAUGGCCGGCCCACCCCGCCAAACUUUCUAGU